AGGACUAACGCUGGCGGCGUGCCUAACACAUGCAAGUCGAACGAAGUAGCAAUACUUAGUGGCAGACGGGUGAGUAACACGUAGUCAACCUGCCCUUCAAUGGGGGAUAACUAGCCGAAAGGUUAGCUAAUACCGCAUACGAUCUCUGAGUGGCAUCACUCGGCGAUGAAAGGAGUAAUCCGUUGAAGGAGGGGACUGCGUCCCAUUAGUUAGUUGGUGGGGUAAUGGCCUACCAAGACUCCGAUGGGUAGCUGGCUUGAGAGAGCGACCAGCCACACUGGAACUGAGACACGGUCCAGACUCCUACGGGAGGCAGCAGUGAGGAAUUUUCCGCAAUGGGGGAAACCCUGACGGAGCGACGCCGCGUGUGGGAAGAAGGCCUUCGGGUCGUAAACCACUGUCGAGGGGGACGAUAUUGACGGUACCCCUGGAGGAAGCCCCGGCUAACUACGCGCCAGCAGCCGC
rnacentral:rRNA from 1 species